UCGGAUUCUGGGUGUCAACGGAGCGUGUUCGACAGUCAUAUUGUCGAACACGCUAGUUCGACACUCAUAGUGUCGAACAAUGGGGAGUUCGACAUUAUGGGUGUCGAAUUGCCAUGUGGCGUGUCUGAUGUGGUGUGUUCGACAUCCAAAGUGCCGAACAGCCUAUAAAGUAGACACGUGGACAUGUCCUUGCAUGCAUAACAUGUCUCAUGCAUGCAAAGGGUGCCUUACAUGCAUGACAUGUGUCAUGCAUGCAAGGCACUUUUCAGGAGACCCAUGUGGUACUGUACAUGCAAGUCACUUUGAAUGUCGAAUGGGGCGCUGUGCAUGCAGGUCAUUUUGGGUGGAGUGCUGCAUGCAUGAAACAUGUUAUGCAUAAGGGGUGCCUUGCAUGCAUGACAUGUGUUCAUGCAUGCAAGCCACUGUCUGGGUAAAGGAGACCCACGCACAGCUACGCGGGGAGGAGACUUUAAGUCUCCUUCCAUACACCAUCUUUCUGCUUUCAUCUUCUCAUUCUC
rnacentral:lncRNA from 1 species